AGUCCAGUAGCACCUUAGAGACCAGCCAGGUUUGUUCUAGUUAUAAGCUUUUGUGUGCAUGCUUAUACCUAGAACAAACUUAGUUGGUCUCUAAGGUGCUACUGGACU